rnacentral:lncRNA from 1 species
AGGCUCCCAGGGCCACCAUCGGGGCAGUGACCGAGCGAAAGCAGUUGCGCAGGAACCCCCAGACAGACCUGAAAUCUGGGCCCAUGGGCCAAGCGCGCUGACGUAGAGCCUGUCUCUAGGACACGAAUUCUGCGCAAAGGCCAACUUCAGCGUCUUAACGGUGCAAACAGAGAAUCCUAAUACAAGGCCUGAAGCCUGGAGAAAAGGCGCGGCAGGCUUUCCCGGAAGUCUGAGGAGGCGGAUUAGCCUCCGCCCUCCGACAUCCCGCCCCGCGCUCGCCUACUCCGCCCAGCUUCUCGUCCGCGCGCCGCCUUCGAUUCUCGCCUGCAAGUGUCGGGCCUUCCCCGUCAUCAGGUUUGCGAACGGCCCCGCCCGCUGGUUUGUCUUGGCCACCUCGGUUGGGAACCUUCCCGCAAAUCAGGCCUGAGUCAGGACCGGAAGCCCGUGAAGUGCUGAUCGGUUCCCGACAGUGAGAGCACCAAGUCACGGUACCCAUUUGGUGGGAGGGAAGUGGAGCACCGCCCAAGAAGCCUCCGGUUGGCGUCUGGGGCUGGGCACCAGGAGCUGGAAAUGACCCGGCCUUACUCCGAGAGCAUCACUUGAGACCAGGCCUACAAAGAGUACACUUGUCUUGGAGUCCUUGGAGGGGGCAGCUAUGAGGUCAAAGUCAAAGGAGGAAAUGAGAGCUCUAGCACUAACUUGGGAAAGGUGGAUUGCCUGGCUUCUGACAACAAGGUGAAGUGUUGGGGAAACUGCAGGAGAUUAAGGUAAGGAUGCCAGCAGUACCUCCUGCUACCCCUAAACACACCUGCCCCUCCCUACAGCCCUUGCAGAACACUCCCAAAUAUUCUAAUGAUACCCUGAAGGUGGAGCCAGUGCUGGAAGGGAAUCUGAGCCUCCUGCUCCUGAAGAAUGAAUUAAAAAACAAAACAAGUAAACCCCCAAACCCUAGGACUAGGAGGUGAGAACUUGACUCAAUAUCUGGUCUAAUCCAGUCACACUGGAAUUGUUGGGGUGGAGAGAGAAGUAGAUUCUGAAUAGAUUUAACUCCCAUCUGCGGCAUGUGGAAGUUCCUGGACCAGGGAUCCAUCCUGUGCCACGGCAGCAACUUGGGCUGCUGAAGUGACAAUGCCGGCUCCCUAACCCACUGCACUGCAGGAGAUUUAAGAGGAGAGAAUAUAGACUCCUCGAUGGGAGGAGUGUCAGCAUCACAUUAAAGAAGAGCAUGUGGUAUAGAAUAUCUUGCAACCCUCUUGAAAAAUGAAAUGGAAUGGUGAAAGACUAAGUACUUUCCUACAGGGACUGAGAUAACCCCAAAGCACCAUGUUUUGAUAACUAUUUGUGUAUAACCACUUCAAAACAUAGUGGCCUAAAAUAACAAUUUAGGAGUUUCUGCUGUGUCGCAGUGGGUAAAUGAUCUGGCUUGUCUCUGUGGAGGUGUGAGUUGGAUCUCUUGCCUGGCGCAGUGGGUUGGGGAUCCAGUGUUGCUGCAGCUCUGGUAUAGGUCACAGCUCUGACCCCUGGCUCAGGAAUUUAACAUAUGCCACAGGGGCAGUGGGGAAAAAAAAGGAAAGAAAGAAAUAAUAAUUACAAAAAAAUAAAACAGACUUCCUGUUGUGGCUCAGCAGUAAAAAACCUAACCAGUAUCAAUGGGAUGCAGGUUCAAUCCCUAGCUCAAUGGAUUAAAGAUCCGGUAUUGACAUGAGCUGCCAUAUAGGUCAAAGACACGGCUUGGCUCAGAUCUGGCGUUGCUGUGGCUGUGGCAUAGGCUGGUAGCUACAGCUCCAAUUAGACUCCUAGACUGGGAACUUCCAUGUGCCUCAGGUGUGGCCAUUAAAAAAAAAAAAGAUAUACACUGGAAUUCUGGUGCAGUGGGUUAAGGAUCUAGCAUCAUCACUGCAGUGGCUCGAGUUGGUGCUGUGGGUCGGGUUUGAUCCCUGGCCUAAGAACUUCCAUAUUUGGCAGGCAUGGCAAAAAAACAAAAAAGAAAGAUGCAUACACCUAAUGUUUGUAGCAGUGCUAAUUGCAAUAGCCAAGACAUGGAGGCAACCUAAAGGUCCAUCAACAGGUGAAUGGAUAAAGAGGAUGUGCUUUGGGGAGUUCCCAUUAUGGCUCAGUGGUAACGUACCCAACUAGUAUCCAUGAGGAUACAGGUUGGAUCCCUGGCCUUGAUCAGUGGGUUAAGGAUCUGGCAUUGCCAUGAGGUGUUGUAGGUCGCAGACAAGGCUUGGUUCCUGAGUUGCUAUGGCUGUGGUGUAGGCAGGCAGCUGCAACUCCAAUUUGACCCCUAACCUGGGAACUUCGGUAUGCCCGGUGUGGCCAUAAAAAGACCAAAAAAAAAAAAAAAGGAUGUGG